GUCGUGCAACCGUCUUGAUCAGUUAUCAAGAAAGAUCGAGAGAGAGAGAGAUCCGUUGUCGUCGCCGCUUGAAUCCAAUUGAAUCCGGUAAUUCUCUCCCCUAAUUUUCAGGUGAUAUUCAGAGGCUUUGCGUCUUUGUUCCGUAGAAGUACAGAGAAGGUACUUUGAUCCAUUUCAAUUCGAUCACUUAUCAAGAACGAUCCACAGAGGGAUAGAGAGAUAAGGUGUGUUUGUUUGCUUUGCUUUGCACAAAGACAUAGAGAGAGAGACAUAGCUCAUAUUCAGAAAAGGGGGAUUCUCACCUCCUCAUCUCAGCACGAGUGGGAAGGAACUAUGGAGACCACAUAUCUUCAAGAAGAAAUUGAUGAAGUCCGUGAUGAGUGGGCAGAAUUUGUUAGCAACUUUAGACUCCUCAGUUCUAUGGUUUAACUAUUAUCUAGUGAAACUUCUUUAAUUUGUUGCAAAAUUUACCUUUUGUCGCAAAACUUCUUUAAUACAUUCUUGUAUUAUUUAAGUUUCUUUUACUUUUGCAAACUUCACUGAAAAAAUUUUAACUGCGAAAGCAUUGUAAAUGUGAUUACUUGAAGUACGUACUUCUCUAUAUAUUAAUAUAUUGCAAUUUCAUUUCAA